UUUAUUGGAGAGUUUGAUCCUGGCUCAGGAUGAACGCUGGCGGCGUGCCUAAUACAUGCAAGUCGAGCGAAUGGAUUAAGAGCUUGCUCUUAUGAAGUUAGCGGCGGACGGGUGAGUAACACGUGGGUAACCUGCCCAUAAGACUGGGAUAACUCCGGGAAACCGGGGCUAAUACCGGAUAACAUUUUGAACUGCAUGGUUCGAAAUUGAAAGGCGGCUUCGGCUGUCACUUAUGGAUGG
rnacentral:rRNA from 1 species